rnacentral:rRNA from 1 species
UGAGGAAUAUUGGUCAAUGGGCGAGAGCCUGAACCAGCCAAGUAGCGUGCAGGAUGACGGCCCUAUGGGUUGUAAACUGCUUUUAUGUGGGGAUAAAGUGCGUGACGUGUCAUGCAUUGCAGGUACCACAUGAAUAAGGACCGGCUAAUUCCGUGCCAGCAGCGGCGGUAAUACGGAAGGUCCGGGCGUUAUCCGGAUUUAUUGGGUUUAAAGGGAGCGUAGGCUGUCUAUUAAGCGUGUUGUGAAAUAUACCGGCUCAACCGGUGGCUUGCAGCGCGAACUGGUCGACUUGAGUAUGCAGGAAGUAGGCGGAAUUCAUGGUGUAGCGGUGAAAUGCUUAGAUAUCAUGACGAACUCCGAUUGCGCAGGCAGCUUACUGUAGCAUAACUGACGCUGAUGCUCGAAAGUGCGGGUAUCAAACAGG